GACGAACGCUGGCGGCGUGCCUAAUACAUGCAAGUAGAACGCUGAAGGAGGAGCUUGCUUCUCUGGAUGAGUUGCGAACGGGUGAGUAACGCGUAGGUACCUGCCUGGUAGCGGGGGAUAACUAUUGGAAACGAUAGCUAAUACCGCAUAAUAGCAGUUGUUGCAUGACAACUGUUUGAAAGGUGCAAUUGCACCACUACCAGAUGGACCUGCGUUGUAUUAGCUAGUUGGUGGGGUAACGGCUCACCAAGGCGACGAUACAUAGCCGACCUGAGAGGGUGAUCGGCCACACUGGGACUGAGACACGGCCCAGACUCCUACGGGAGGCAGCAGUAGGGAAUCUUCGGCAAUGGACGGAAGUCUGACCGAGCAACGCCGCGUGAGUGAAGAAGGUUGUCGGAUCGUAAAGCUCUGUUGUAAGAGAAGAACGAGUGUGAGAGUGGAAAGUUCACACUGUGACGGUAUCUUACCAGAAAGAGACGGCUAACUACGUG
rnacentral:rRNA from 1 species